UAGGGAAUCUUCCACAAUGGACGCAAGUCUGAUGGAGCAACGCCGCGUGAGUGAAGAAGGUUUUCGGACCGUAAAGCUCUGUUGUUGGUGAAGAAGGAUAGAGGUAGUAACUGGCCUUUAUUUGACGGUAAUCAACCAGAAAGUCACGGCUAACUACGUGCCAGCAGCCGCGGUAAAUACGUAGGUGGCAAGCGUUGUCCGGAUUUAUUGGGCGUAAAGCGAGCGCAGGCGGAAGAAUAAGUCUGAUGUGAAAGCCCUCGGCUUAACCG
rnacentral:rRNA from 1 species